rfam:Equus caballus chromosome 17, whole genome shotgun sequence.
UUUUUAGUAUAAAUAUGUCCUAUGCAAUAUUUGGGACAUACUUACACUAAAA